rnacentral:rRNA from 1 species
GAUGAACGCUGGCGGCGUGCCUAAUACAUGCAAGUCGAACGCUGGAAAUCUAGCUUGCUCGCUUGAAGGAGUGGCGAACGGGUGAGUAAUACAUAAGCAACCUACCCACGAAGACUGGGAUAAUCUCUGGAAACGGGGACUAAUACCGGAUAGGUAAUCGGAAGGCAUCUUCUGAUUAUUAAAGGUUAAAAACACUGGUGGAUGGGCUUAUGGCGCAUUAGUUAGUUGGUGAGGUAACGGCCCACCAAGACGAUGAUGCGUAGCCGGCCUGAGAGGGUGAACGGCAACAUGGGGACUGAGACACGGCCCAGACUCCUACGGGAGGCAGCAGUAGGGAAUUUUCGGCAAUGGGGGAAACCCUGACCGAGCAACGCCGCGUGAGUGAUGACGGCCUUCGGGUUGUAAAGCUCUGUUGUAAGGGAAGAACGGUAGAUAGAGAAUAUCUAAAUGACGGUACCUUACCAGAAAGCCACGGCUAACUACGUG